rnacentral:rRNA from 1 species
AGUGAACGCUGGCGGUAGGCCUAACACAUGCAAGUCGAACGGCAGCACAGUAAGAGCUUGCUCUUACGGGUGGCGAGUGGCGGACGGGUGAGGAAUACAUCGGAAUCUACUUUUUCGUGGGGGAUAACGUAGGGAAACUUACGCUAAUACCGCAUACGACCUACGGGUGAAAGCAGGGGAUCUUCGGACCUUGCGCGAUUGAAUGAGCCGAUGUCGGAUUAGCUAGUUGGCGGGGUAAAGGCCCACCAAGGCGACGAUCCGUAGCUGGUCUGAGAGGAUGAGAGCCAACAGUGGAGAGGAGCACCGGUCCAAACCCCUACGGGAGGCAGAGGGGGGGAAUAUGGGAGAGUGGGGGAAGGCUGGACCCACCCAUCCCGGGGGGGGAAAAAAGGCUUUCGGGUUGAAAAGCCUUUUUUUGGGGAAAGAAAAGCAGCGGGUUAAAACCCCGCUGUUCGGAGGUUACCAAAAAAAAAAGCACCGGCUAACUUCGUC